GGAGUUCAGAUGAUGAUCAAUUGCAUAGUUCAAAUGAAUGUUUGUGAUUAGAAAAGUUUUAGUCUUUCCGAUGAACUCA
rfam:Helianthus annuus linkage group 15, whole genome shotgun sequence.